rnacentral:SRP_RNA from 1 species
GCCAGGUGUGUUGUGUGCACCUGUAGUCCUAGCUACUCAGGAGGCUGAGGUAGGAGCAUUGCUUGAGCCCAGGAAUUCGAGGCUUCAGUGAGCUAUGAUGGCGCCACUGCACUCUAGCCUGGGUGACAGAGUGAGACCCUGUCUCUU